UGUGGUGGUGUCUCUCGAUUCGCGUAAGCGUAGAACUCGUGUCUGUGGGUGGGAUCGAACAGCUAGUCAGCUCCGUCGCUGCUACCGGUUCCUGUAGCUCCGCCGCGGGGGGCCUCCCCUCAUGCCUCGGUUCCUGAUGAGACUGGGCGGCGGCCGCGGCGAGAAGCUGCGGCUCCUCGACUGAUUUACCAGGGACAUGGCGCGCCAGUAGCGGCUCAAGCACCGGUGCGACGAGAAGGAGAUGUAGUGGCACCGGUGACAGUAGCCCAUGUUCGUGGUCCGCCUGGGGCGGCCGGGGUUACGACGGCUGCGCCGGACGUCGCCGCAGCCGUAGGAGCCGUAGCGGACCCGCAAGCCGCCGUACUAGAAGCACGAGCAGAUGACGUGACGGCCCCAAAGGCCACCGGUGUAGUUGGGCCGCCACUGCAAGCCCGACAAGGACCGCGCCUUCCACAGCGACCACGCGCGCGACGAGAUGUAGUAGCGCGUCACGGACCCGCGGUAGACGCCGCAGCCCGAGCAGUUCCCCAAGGUCUCGCGGAAGAUGCACGCGAUGCCGCCGCCGCGGUUGCUCGAGUCGAGGCCGAAGAGGUUCCCGUGGCCGGAGCGGCGGCUCUAGUAGCCGUGGAAGCACGAGCAGAUGUGGCAGAAGAGGCGGUGGCUGGGGUUCGCGUCGCGGGCACUGAGGGUGCAGGGCCACGACCGAGGAGACGGUUAGCCGAAGCGCCACAAGUACCACGUGGACCGGUGAUAGGGCUAGUGGCCGUGGCCGUAGUUGGGCCGUUCCUCGAAACCUCGACGGCACUAGAUGUUGUUGCUCUUCCGGACCCUACUGGUGACCUAGAAGACCCACCCCGGUAAGUAGCCCCGGCGGUAGCGGCGGCGGAUGGUGGUCAUGCAGGACUCCCGGUCGCGGUGGUUCGAGCCGAGCAGACGGAGGAAGCCGUCCUUGAUCUAGCCGGCUGACGUCAUACCUACUAGCCUUCGUGCCUGUCAUCUAUAUAGUCACACUAUGACAAGCCCACUACAUAACACGUGCGCAGACAUAAAAGAAUCUGCGCAAACCCACAGAAGUUUUAAAGAGAUGUUAACGUGAUUUAAGCUUCCUGAGCAGUGGUACACAAAAAAAACUUGUUUGUUUCCCAUGCCUUCCUGGAUCUUCAACGUAAUUGAUCCUUCUUCACCUAGUGUAACAAAAUGUUGUCCUGUGAUUUUCUUUUUACUUUGUUGUUUGAUCACGGAUCAAUAAUGUUUCUCCUGGGGGUUUACAGCAACUUUGAGCGUUAACCCAGGGACCGUACACCGUAGUGUUCGGGCUUAGAUCAGAGCAGAAGUGGUCCGUACUGUGGUGUACCACGCUGCUCGGGAGGUACCUUGUUGCGGUACUUGAGGUUCUGCUUCUACAUCACGGAGGUAGACCGAGAACCAACCCUCCUUCUUCGUUCCAGUGGUAAGCAGGUUGUCUAAAUUGCCGCUACUAACCGUAGCUGGUGUCAUCACCCGCGGUUUCAGGUAGGUACCAACGGUAGCCACUACUCGUGUUUGAGGUAGAUCUAGAGGUGGAAAGGGUACGAAGAGGAGGUGCUGGUGCCAUUGGUACGAUCCGCCGGUACGUUCGAAUAAGCAGUUAGCAGCUACUACGUGAGGAACGUACGUAGACCGAGGGUUGAUCGUAUCGGUCCUAACGUCGACAGCGAUCGGUGGCUGGUGACGAGUUAGUGCUGCUACUGCACGAGGUGGUACCGUUUCGCGGUUUGCGGUGUCCUCGUCCUGCCUUGGGUCUGGAUCAUAAAAUAUUCCCAGGAGGUACGAGGACGGGGAGGGAGCCCGUACUUUGUGGCGAUCCCUUCUAAUCCCUAGCCCAGCUCUUAACCGAGAGAGAGAGAGAGAGAGAGAGAGAGAGAGAGCUGAGAGUCGUUCACGCGAACUUUCCUAGUUCUACCUGAAUUUUCCCCACUUAUUCCAAAUGUACUUCUCCCUCUUACGGCCGUCGACCUUAAGACCCGACCUUUUCCUCGUUUAUAAUCUCUGGAUAAGACGUGUCGAGGUCUUCAGGACUUUGUAGUGUCUUGAGUAAAAACCUUAAUUAUUUUUUAUUACCUGCUUCUUUUUAUGGUCUCCCCCGGUGUGGGACCGGUGCUCCCACCCUCCGCGCGGGAUGGGGGGACCCGCGCGGGGGACGGAGCACCCGGGGACCACCGGGAGGCCACGGGUAGAAGACGAUAUACUUCAGAAAGCAGGCUCUUUUUUAGUAUUCGUUCGAAAGCCCUUCUUUGAGGCGGCGGUGCUCCGCCUUGGAACCGCCUUGGUUAGAUCCCGAGGCCGUCUCGACAAGACGGCCCCUUUGAAGGGAGGCCCUCCCCCUUUAGUAGCGGUAGCAGUAGUGGUUGCGAGGAGAGUAACCCUCCCCCGGUUAGAGGUAGUUGUAGAAGUGGUUGUGGUAGAGGAGAGUUUGGGAUCAAGUAGAGAACAUAGGUUAGAAACAGGGUUUCGGAGUCUAACCAUGAACACCCAAUGAUCAUCACAACUAAUGAGGAACAUCAACUACGAUCAACCAAAUAAACCACCUUCUAAUAUACAAGUCUAGGUAAUACGUAUAAUUAUGG
rnacentral:rRNA from 1 species